rnacentral:rRNA from 1 species
GUAGGGAAUAUUGGGCAAUGGUCGGAAGACUGACCCAGCCAUGCCGCGUGCAGGAAGACGGCCCUCUGGGUUGUAAACUGCUUUUAUCUGGGAAGAAAAAGGCCAUGCGUGGCAAAUUGCCGGUACCAGAUGAAUAAGCACCGGCUAACUCCGUGCCAGCAGCCGCGGUAAUACGGAGGGGGCGAGCGUUGUCCGGAUUUAUUGGGUUUAAAGGGUGCGUAGGCGGCUGAUUAAGUCAGCGGUGAAAGACUUCGGCUUAACCGGAGCAGUGCCGUUGAUACUGGUUGGCUUGAGUGUCGGAGGGGUACAUGGAAUUGAUGGUGUAGCGGUGAAAUGCAUAGAUACCAUCAGGAACACCGAUAGCGAAGGCAUUGUACUGGCCGACAACUGACGCUGAUGCACGAAAGUGUGGGGAUCGAACAGGAUUAGAAACCCUGGUAGUCC